UACAGAGGUCUCAAGCGUUGUUCGGAUUCAUUGGGCGUAAAGGGUGCGUAGGCGGCGCGGUAAGUCGGGUGUGAAAUCUCGGAGCUUAACUCCGAAACUGCAUUCGAUACUGCCGUGCUUGAGGACUGGAGAGGAGACUGGAAUUCAUGGUGUAGCAGUGAAAUGCGUAGAGAUCAUGAGGAAGACCAGUGGCGAAGGCGGGUCUCUGGACAGUUCCUGACACUGAGACACGAAGGCUAGGGGAGCAAACGGG
rnacentral:rRNA from 1 species